rnacentral:rRNA from 1 species
UACGUAGGGUGCAAGCGUUUGUCCGGAAUUAUUGGGCGUAAAGAGCUCGUAGGCGGUUUGUCGCGUCUGCUGUGAAAACCCGAGGCUCAACCUCGGGCCUGCAGUGGGUACGGGCAGACUAGAGUGCGGUAGGGGAGAUUGGAAUUCCUGGUGUAGCGGUGGAAUGCGCAGAUAUCAGGAGGAACACCAGUGGCGAAGGCGGAUCUCUGGGCCGUAA